CGGGACGGGUGAGUAACACGUGAGCAACCUGCCUUUCAGUGGGGGACAACAGUUGGAAACGACUGCUAAUACCGCAUAACGUGCCGGAAGGGCAUCCUUUUGGUACCAAAGAUUUAUCGCUGAAAGAUGGGCUCGCGUCUGAUUAGAUAGUUGGUGAGGUAACGGCCCACCAAGUCGACGAUCAGUAGCCGGACUGAGAGGUUGAUCGGCCACAUUGGGACUGAGACACGGCCCAGACUCCUACGGAAGGCAGCAG
rnacentral:rRNA from 1 species